rnacentral:lncRNA from 10 species
CUCCCUUCCCUCCUGUGUGUCCCUGGGUAUGGCUGGUUGCAGGGUAGUGCUGAGGAGCCUGCAGGGACAAGGGGAGUAAUCACCCCUCAUCACUGAUGGACAGGUGAGAGGCAUGCUGACUGCUGCCAUUACCAACUAGAGGAGACCUGGUCAGACUUCAGGAGGGGGUGGUGGUAGGACCAAGGGCGGAGAGAGAGCCAGAGUAGAAGCUAAAAUGCUAAGUUACCAUUAAUGUUUCUAAAAGGAGAAUCAGGUUUCUUGAGAAAUUUCUUAUGGAAUUUCAGAGGCAGUUUUCCACAGACUCCUUCUCUCGUCUCUUCUGCUGCAAGAAGCUAUGGCUUCUCAGGCUGAAUGGGUGAGGAUUUCAUUAUGGGAACAGAUAUCUCUGAAACACCCGAAGGUUCAGGCUGCUGAGCUGCGGCCUGAAGGUGGAGGCAGCUGCAGCAGGCAGGGCUGGGGCUUUCGGACUUUUCUGGUCUUUUUGGAAAAUGCUAGGAUCAGGCCUUUUUGUCCCUGAGAACUGGCUGUUAACCAUGACCCGGCACACCACCAUCCCACCUCUUGGUGUUCCGCCAGGUGCCAGUGAGCUGCCAGCCAGUGCCUGCCCACUGCUCUACCAGCCCCUCACCAGGAGUUGGUUUCUACUAUUCUCUGACCCCUUCAGCAGGUCAGAGCUGGCAGGAGACACUCUUUUACCACCUAAUACCUCUCCCUUGUUGGACUUACCACAAUUGUUUCCUGUCUGUCUCUUCCAAUAGCAUGUAAACAUCCACGAGGCAGGGACUGUUUAGCUUUACUCACAAUUCUAUCCCCAGCACCUAGCACAGAUGCAUUUGUGGACUAAACGAAUGGGCAAAUACUAAUAAACUGAAGGGUUCAGAAUGAAGGGGGAGAAAUCAAGGUUUGGGUGUGAGUAGGUCUGGAUGUCUCUCUUGCAACAAAAACAACAGAACAAAUGAUCAACUACUGAGCAAAAGUAACCUGCAUGACCCGGUCACGGGCACAAAACCUCAAACCCAAAGACCACACUGCUUUUUUCACUUUCUGACCAGUACUGUAAGAUCUGUCCAAAUGUUUAAAAACCACUCCCUCUGGCUACUGGGUUAUAUUACCUAUGUGUGGCUCGGUCAUCAUCCUAAGUGACAAACACUAUGUCUUCCUUGGAGGUGGUAAAAACAAAAAUAAUCAGGAGCCUGGGGACAGGCUGUGCUGUAGUGAGGACAGAUUCCUUUAUUUUUGCCUGAUUAUGGCACCAUGACAUUGUCCAUCUACCUUGGCCAAGGAACUACUUCUCCAGACAUCUGCCGCUAUGCUUUGGGAAUCAGAAUGGGGUGUAGUUUCUCCAGUGGUACCUGUUUUGACUCUCUCUGACCCACACAAUAUUUAAAAGCCUGUGAUGGGAGAAGCAGAACAACUAUGAGUAAUAUUAAGGAUUGAUCAGAGGAAUCAGACCUUAGGGAAUGAGAGGCACUAGUCAUGCCGUCUGUGUAAAUCUGCUGCUUCUGCGUCUGACACUGGGCCUGCAGUCAGCUGUUCUGACAGUUGGGAGGGAAGGCGGCUGUAAAGUGACAGAGACUGGGGACAAACUAGAGCUGCACCUAUCUCUCUCUCACAAGCACCAAUCUUGAUGAUGCAAGACAAUCUGCAGAAUAAGCAGGAGCCUUCCCCAAGGAGCUGCACAUGCACCUGCCCCAGGAUUUGGAAAAGCUGGAGGAGGAGAUGUGGGGAGCUGGAGAAACUGUGGGCCAGUCACUGCCACAUGCCAGUUAGGUGAGUCAGCACAUCAGGAAUGUCAUGCACAAGCUAUAACAGAGCCUGCCCUACACGGACCUUCCGAGGGUUAAAAAAAAUUUUUUUAAGACAACUACUUCACUUCCACCUUCUAAAUCUCAUGCAGAUUUAUCUGUCGGCAACUCUAAACUGAAAACAAACAGGUGAGGAGAUUCUAGGAAAUAAAGCUGCAGCCCAGCUAAGGUUCCAGGGAAAGUCCCAUCCAAGUCUGCAGAUUGAGUCACCAGUACGAAGGUUUCACCAUCUUGGGCCUGGGCCCACUCUUAUGUAAGCCAGUCAAACUGCUUUCAGCAUGCAAAGGAGGUAGUAUUUCUCUCAUUCUAGGUGAGCAACUUCCAUCAACCCAUACUAACCUUCAUCACUUCUGUAGAACUACCAUGGAUGUUUCCAUGCUCGUGUGUGUCUGUAGGUGAAGGGGUGGUGCACAGAUCCUAGAAAAAGCUUUCUUCAUCAGCUCAGGGCUAAAAAUUUCCAGGAAGUGCUCUCUGGGCUCCACAGCAGCAAUACAUGGAUGUUGAUUGAACUGAAAACUCAUAAACCUAGUAUUGUCAGGCUGAAAUUGUCCUGGAAUUGUCUCAGUCCAAAGAACGAUCUCCCUGUCCUGAAGCAAGCUUCUUGACUGCAGAUUAAUCUAUUAUUAAGUCACUUAUAGGCUACAAUUUGAGAACCCCUUUGUUAUCACUGAACUAGGCGCAGUGGGCAUUUUCUGAAUCUAGGCAUGGAGGGAGAGUGACUGGUUUCUCAAGGAUAAUGACCACUGCCUUAGAAUCCCAGUGGAAGGUGGAAAGGGACUAGGGCAAUCGUCUAGUCUGACCUGUCCUUUUACAGAUGAGGAUGAUGGGGCAUGAAGAGGGGAAGGAACUGGCCCGAAACCACACAGCUCAUCAGUGGCAGAGUCAGAACAAGAGUCAGAAGCUCCUGUCUCCCUGUUUCUGCCUUUUCCAUGACAGCAUGCUGUUUCUCAAAGGCAUCUUCUCCUAGAAACAGGAGGCUACAGGCUAGUUUUUGGCAUGUUUACUGAUUUCAUUC